rnacentral:rRNA from 1 species
CAAUAGCGUAUAUUCAAGUUGUUGCAGUUAAAAAGCUCGUAGUUGGAUUUCGGUUAAGAGCGACCGGUCCGCCGUUUGGUGUGCACUGGUUGGUUUUAACUUCCUGUAGAGGACGUGCUCUGGGUUUAACGACCUGGACUCGGAGUCUACGUGGUUACUUUGAAAAAAUUAGAGUGUUCAAAGCGGGCUUACGCUUGAAUAUUUCAGCAUGGAAUAACACUAUAGGACUCCUGUCCUAUUUCGUUGGUCUCGGGACGGGAGUAAUGAUUAAGAGGAACAGUUGGGGGCAUUCGUAUUUCAUUGUCAGAGGUGAAAUUCUUGGAUUUAUGAAAGGCGAACUUCUGCGAAAGCAUUUGCCAAGGAUGUUUUCAUUAA